rnacentral:rRNA from 1 species
GCCAGACUCCUACGGGAGGCAGCAGUGGGGAAUAUUGGACAAUGGGGGGAACCCUGAUCCAGCGACGCCGCGUGAGUGAAGAAGUAUUUCGGUAUGUAAAGCUCUAUCAGCGGGGAAGAAAGAAAUGACGGUACCUGACUAAGAAGCCCCGGCUAACUACGUGCCAGCAGCCGCGGUAAUACGUAGGGGGCAAGCGUUAUCCGGAUUUACUGGGUGUAAAGGGAGCGUAGACGGCUAUGCAAGUCUGGAGUGAAAGGCGGGGGCCCAACCCCCGGACUGCUCUGGAAACUGUAGAGCUAGAGUGCAGGAGAGGUAAGUGGAAUUCCUAGUGUAGCGGUGAAAGGCGUAGAUAUUAGGAGGAACACCAGUGGCGAAGGCGGCUUGCUGGACUGUAACUGACGUUGAGGCUCGAAAGCGUGGGGAGCAAACAGGAUUAGAUACCCUGGUAC